UGGGGGAUAUUGCACAAUGGGGGAAACCCUGAUGCAGCGACCCCGCGUGGAGGAAGAAGGUUUUCGGAUUGUAAACUCCUGUCGUUAGGGACGAUAAUGACGGUACCUAACAAGAAAGCACCGGCUAACUACGUGCCAGCAGCCGCGGUAAAACGUAGGGUGCAAGCGUUGUCCGGAAUUACUGGGUGUAAAGGGAGCGCAGGCGGGAAGACAAGUUGGAAGUGAAAACCAUGGGCUCAACCCAUGAAUUGCUUUCAAAACUGUUUUUCUUGAGUAGUGCAGAGGUAGAUGGAAUUCCCGGUGUAGCGGUGGAAUGCGUAGAUAUCGGGAGGAACACCAGUGGCGAAGGCGGUCUACUGGGCACCAACUGACGCUGAGGCUCGAAAGCAUGGGUAGCAAACAGGAUUAGAUACCCUGGUAGUCCAUGCCGUAAACGAUGAUUACUAGGUGUUGGGGGAUUGACCCCCUCAGUGCCGCAGUUAACACAAUAAGUAAUCCACCUGGGGAGUACGACCGCAAGGUUGAAACUCAAAGGAAUUGACGGGGGCCCGCACAAGCAGUGGAGUAUGUGGUUUAAUUCGAAGCAACGCGAAGAACCUUACCAGGUCUUGACAUCCGAUGCAUAGCACAGAGAUGUGUGAAAUCCUUCGGGACAUCGAGACAGGUGGUGCAUGGUUGUCGUCAGCUCGUGUCGUGAGAUGUUGGGUUAAGUCCCGCAACGAGCGCAACCCUUAUUGCCAGUUACUACGUUAAGAGGACUCUGGCGAGACUGCCGUUGACAAAACGGAGGAAGGUGGGGAUGACGUCAAAUCAUCAUGCCCUUUAUGAUCUGGGCUACACACGUGCUACAAUGGCGUAACAAAGGGAAGCGAGCCUGCGAGGGUGAGCAAAUCCCAAAAAUAACGUCCCAGUUCGGACUGUAGUCUGCAACCCGACUACACGAAGCUGGAAUCGCUAGUAAUCGCGAAUCAGAAUGUCGCGGUGAAUACGUUCCC
rnacentral:rRNA from 1 species